rnacentral:rRNA from 1 species
ACGGUACCUGCAGAAGAAGCACCGGCUAACUACGUGCCAGCAGCCGCGGUAAUACGUAGGGUGCGAGCGUUGUCCGGAAUUAUUGGGCGUAAAGAGCUCGUAGGCGGCGUGUCACGUCGGAUGUGAAAGCCCGGGGCUUAACUCCGGGUCUGCAUUCGAUACGCCCAGGCUAGAGUUCGGUAGGGGAGAUCGGAAUUCCUCCUGUAGCGGUGAAAUGCGCAGAUAUCAGGAGGAACACCGGUGGCGAAGGCGGAUCUCUGGGCCGAUACUGACGCUGAGGAGCGAAAGCGUGGGGAGCGAACACCAUUAGAUACCCUGGUAGUCCACGCCGUAAAGCUUGGGAACUAGGUGUGGGCGACAUUCCACGUCG